rnacentral:rRNA from 1 species
UACGAGGGGGGCGAGCGUUGUUCGGAAUUAUUGGGCGUAAAGGGUGCGUAGGCGGUUCCGCAAGUCCUGUGUGAAAUCUUCGGGCUCAACUCGAAGUCUGCACGGGAAACUGCGGGGCUUGAGUGUGGGAGAGGUGAGCGGGAUUCCCGGUGUAGGCGGUGAAAUGCGUAGAUAUCGGGAGGAACACCUGUGGCGAAAGCGGCUCACUGGACCAUAACUGACGCUGAUGCACGAAAGCUGGGGGGAGCAAACAGG